GAUGAACGCUGGCGGCGUGCCUAAUACAUGCAAGUCGAGCGAACAGAUGAGGAGCUUGCUCCUCUGACGUUAGCGGCGGACGGGUGAGUAACACGUGGAUAACCUACCUAUAAGACUGGGAUAAUUUCGGGAAACCGGAGCUAAUACCGGAUAAUAUAUUGAACCGCAUGGUUCAAUAGUGAGAGACGGUUUUUCUGUCACUUAUAGAUGGAUCUAUGCCGCAUUAUCUAGUUGGUAAGGUAACGGCUUAUCAAGGCAACGAUGCGUAGCCGACCUGAGAGGGUGAACGGCCACACUAGAACUGCGACACGGUCCAGAAGCCUACGGGAGGCCGCAGUAGGGAAUCUUGGGCAAUGGGCGAAAACCUGACAGAACAACGCCGCGUGAGUGAUGAAGGUCUUCGGAUCGUAAAACUCUGUUAUUAGGGAAGAACAAAUGUGUAAGUAACUAUGCACGUCUUGACGGUACCUAAUCAGAAAGCCACGGCUAACUACGUG
rnacentral:rRNA from 1 species